AACGAACGCUGGCGGCAUGCCUAACACAUGCAAGUCGAACGAGAUCCUUCGGGGUCUAGUGGCGCACGGGUGCGUAACGCGUGGGAAUCUGCCCUUAGGUACGGAAUAACUCAGGGAAACUUGUGCUAAUACCGUAUGAUGUCUUCGGACCAAAGAUUUAUCGCCUAGGGAUGAGCCCGCGUAGGAUUAGCUAGUUGGUGGGGUAAAGGCCUACCAAGGCUACGAUCCUUAGCNGGUCUGAGAGGAUGAUCAGCCACACUGGGACUGAGACACGGCCCAGACUCCUACGGGAGGCAGCAGUAGGGAAUCUUGCGCAAUGGGCGAAAGCCUGACGCAGCCAUGCCGCGUGAAUGAUGAAGGUCUUAGGAUUGUAAAAUUCUUUCACCGGGGAAGAUAAUGACGGUACCCGGAGAAGAAGCCCCGGCUAACUUCGUGCCAGCAGCCGCCGC
rnacentral:rRNA from 1 species